rnacentral:lncRNA from 1 species
GUGUCUGUGGGGGUGUCCGGGGGUGUCCAUGGGGUGUCCGUGGGGUGUCCAUGGGGUGUCCGGGGGUGUCUGUGGUGUGUCCGUGGGGUGUCUGGAGGUGUCCGUGGGGUGUCCGUGGUGUGUCUGUGGGGGUGUCCGGGGGUGUCUGUGGGGGUGUCCAUGGGGUGUCCGGGGGUGUCCUGGGUGCUGACCAGGCUGUCCCAGCUGGAGGAGACGCUGCAGCUGCGGACGGAGAGUCGCCAGGGCAGCCUGCGAGGGGACAGCCUGCGAGCGGACAGCCUGCGAGGGGACAGCCUGCGUGGCACCAGCAUCUGCUCCGCCAUGGUGAGCCACGGGGACACGGGGGGCACGGGGUCACCACGUUCCUGGGGGUGUCUGUGUCCCCAGUGACUCUCCUGUCACCCAUGUCCCCAGCAGUCCCUAUGUCCUUAAGGUGGCCAUGUCCCCAUGGUCCCCAUGUCCCCACAGUGCCCAUAUCCCCAUUGGUCCCCAUUUCCCCAUGGUGCCAAUGUCCCCAGUGGUCCCUGUGUCCCCACAGUGCCCAUGUCCCAAUGGUGAUGUCCUCACUUGUCCAUGUCCCCAUGGUACUGAUGUCCCCAAUUGUCCAUGUCCCCAUGGUCUCCAUGUCCCCUUGGUCCCCAUGUCCCCACGGUGAUGUCCCCACUUGUCCACAUCCCCAUGGUCCCCAUCUCCCCAUGGUGCUGAGGUCCCCACUUGUCCAUGUCCCCAAGUCCCCAUGGUGAUGUCCCCACUUGUCCAUGUCCCCAUGGUGAUGUCNNNNNNNNNNGUCCAUGUCCCCAAGGUCCCCAUGGUACUGAUGUCCCCACUUGUCCACGUCCCCACGGUGCCCAUGUCCCCAUCAAUCCCCACCCCACGCCCGGUGGCGCCCCUGACGUGUCCCUUGUCCUUGUCCCCAGAGCGAGGAGCCCGAGGGCCGCAGUUACUCCACGCUCUCCACGGUGCGGGAGAUCGAGACGCAGACCGACGUCCCCGUCGUCCCCGUUGUCACCGCGGCGCCGCCGCCGCCGGCGCCUGGCGGGAAGGACCCCAAGGAGGAGGAGGAGGAAGGGGGCGGCGGGGGGGACCCCAUCAAGGCGGCCAUGACGCACUUCGUGCAGGAGAACGGGAUGCUGCAGGCCAAGCCCAGCUCCAACGGCAUCUACAUCAACGGCCGUGGCCACCUGGUGUGAGACGGCCACCGAGGGGACACUUGGGGACACCUGGGGACAGCCGGGCCCCGCCUGUGCCCGCCUGGCUCUGUCCCCGCCGCUCCGGUCCCCGGGUGUCACCUCCCUGCUGGUGUGGGGUCAAGAUGGACUCUGGUCCUCGGGUGUCACCUCCCUGCUGGUGUGGGGUUGGGGACAAGGACAGUGCCCCAGGACUGUGUCACCUCCCUGCUGGUGUGGGGUCAAGGAUGGACUUCAGUCCCCAGGUGUCACCUCCCUGCUGGUGUGGGGUC